rnacentral:misc_RNA from 1 species
AAGUCGUAACAAGGUUUCCGUAGGUGAACCUGCGGAAGGAUCAUUAGUGAACAUAGGACGUCCAACUUAACUUGGAGUCCGAACUCUCACUUUCUAACCCUGUGCAUUUGUUUGGGGUAGUAGCCUCUCGGGGCGAAUCCCUAUUCACUUAUAAACACAAAGUCUAUGAAUGUAUUUAAUUUUAUAACAAAAUAAAACUUUCAACAACGGAUCUCUUGGCUCUC